rnacentral:lncRNA from 1 species
GAUUAUAUAUAGCAGUAUAAAAAAAGUUGUUAUAAAAGUAGUCACCGUAGUCAUUAUUUUACUAUAAGAAAUAUAGGUUUUCUUAAAAGAAGUCUUCAGNCACCUUAGUUUAUACACCAUGUUUAUACAUAAAACUAAUAUCCAACAGAUAGCUAAAUGAGUGUUUUCCGCCCGACAUCUUGUUCCCAUUGGAUUGUGGGCUUAGGGCAGAUUCACCCAGUUAACUUUCUACCCGAUAUCAGAUUAUAUAUAGCAGUAUAAAAAAAGUUGUUAUAAAAGUAGUCACCGUAGUCAUUAUUUUACUAUAAGAAAUAUAGGUUUUCUUAAAAGAAUUCUUCAUUAAAUAUAAAGGAACCAUUACAAAUAACUUCAUGAGUAACAAGUGAAUACACCAGGGUUAUAUAUGACAAUGAUCGAACAACCAAUGGAACGUGUGCUAUCCGCCUUACUUGUUGUUCCCCGUUGGGUUGUGAGUUUAAGGCAGAUACGCACAAUCGAUUGUUUAUUUACUCUAAGUAUAUAUAACUUGUGCCCACUUAGUACGCAUAGAAAGGCUUGUAGUAUCGUUUUACAGAACUUCCAUUCAAGUAGGAAAUAUAGGAUUUUCUAGAGGAACAGGGCGAACAUUUCAAAAAAGAACUUACAGCUGACAUCACUUGUGCAUAUACAUUUUCAAUCACAUUUUCCAGCUUACUCACAUCACUAACAUCUUAU